rnacentral:rRNA from 1 species
UGCGUAACGCGUGGGAAUCUGCCCUUGGGUUCGGAAUAACAGUGAGAAAUUACUGCUAAUACCGGAUGAUGUCGAAAGACCAAAGAUUUAUCGCCCGAGGAUGAGCCCGCGUAGGAUUAGCUAGUUGGUGAGGUAAAGGCUCACCAAGGCGACGAUCCUUAGCUGGUCUGAGAGGAUGAUCAGCCACACUGGGACUGAGACACGGCCCAGACUCCUACGGGAGGCAGCAGUGGGGAAUAUUGGACAAUGGGCGAAAGCCUGAUCCAGCAAUGCCGCGUGAGUGACGAAGGCCCUAGGGUUGUAAAGCUCUUUUACCCGGGAUGAUAAUGACAGUACCGGGAGAAUAAGCCCCGGCUAACUCCGUGCCAGCAGCCGC